rnacentral:rRNA from 1 species
GAGUUUGAUCCUGGCUCAGAGUGAACGCUGGCGGCAGGCCUAAUACAUGCAAGUCGAACGGCAGCACAGCAGAGCUUGCUCUGUGGGUGGCGAGUGGCGGACGGGUGAGGAAUACGUGGGAAUCUGCCCAGUCGUGGGGGAUAACGUAGGAAAACUUACGCUAAUACCGCAUGCGCCCUUUGGGGGAAAGCCGGGGAUCUUCGGACCUGGCGCGAUUGGAUGAGCCCACGUCGGAUUAGCUAGUUGGAGGGGUAAAGGCCCACCAAGGCGACGAUCCGUAGCUGGUCUGAGAGGAUGAUCAGCCACACUGGAACUGAGACACGGUCCAGACUCCUACGGGAGGCAGCAGUAGGGAAUAUUGGACAAUGGGCGCAAGCCUGAUCCAGCCAUGCCGCGUGAGUGAAGAAGGCCCUCGGGUUGUAAAGCUCUUUUGUUGGGGAAGAAAAGCCUUGGGUUAAUACCCUGAGGUUCUGACGGUACCCAAAGAAUAAGCACCGGCUAACUUCGUGCCAGCAGCCGCGGUAAUACGAAGGGUGCAAGCGUUACUCGGAAUUACUGGGCGUAAAGCGUGCGUAGGUGGUUCGUUAAGUCUGAUGUGAAAGCCCUGGGCUCAACCUGGGAAUUGCAUUGGAUACUGGCGAGCUAGAGUGCGGUAGAGGGUAGUGGAAUUCCCGGUGUAGCAGUGAAAUGCGUAGAGAUCGGGAGGAACAUCUGUGGCGAAGGCGACUGCCUGGACCAGCACUGACACUGAGGCACGAAAGCGUGGGGAGCAAACAGGAUUAGAUACCCUGGUAGUCCACGCCCUAAACGAUGCGAACUGGGAUGUUGGGUGCAACUUGGCACUCAGUAUCGAAGCUAACGCGUUAAGUUCGCCGCCUGGGGAGUACGGUCGCAAGACUGAAACUCAAGGAAUUGACGGGGCCCGCACAAGCGGUGGAGUAUGUGGUUUAAUUCGAUGCAACGCGCAGAACCUUACCUGGCCUGACAUCACGAACUUUCCAGAGAUGAUGUGGCUCGGCACGUGAAAAGUGCUGCAUGCUGUCGUCAGCUCGUGUCGUGAGA